GGGUUGUGAGGUUAAGCGAAUAAGCGUACACGGUGGAUGCCUAGGCAAUCAGAGGCGAUGAAGGACGUGCUAAUCUGCGAUAAGCGUCGGUAAGGUGAUAUGAACCGUUAUACCCGACGAUUUCCGAAUGGGGAAACCCAAUAUCCAAUGGAUAUUAUCAUUAACUGAAUACAUAGGUUAAUGAAGCGAACCGGGAGAACUGAAACAUCUCAGUACCCCGAGGAAAAGAAAUCAACCGAGAUUCCCCUAGUAGCGGCGAGCGAACGGGGAACAGCCCAGAGUCUUAAUCAAUAGCAGCAUCAGGAGAACGGUCUGGAAAGUCCGGCAGUAAAGGGUGAUAGCCCCGUAUCCGAAGAUGCUGUUAUUGUGAACUCGACGAGUAGGGCGGGACACGUGUUAUCCUGUCUGAAUAUGGGGGGACCAUCCUCCAAGGCUAAAUACUCCUGAUUGACCGAUAGUGAACCAGUACCGUGAGGGAAAGGCGAAAAGAACCCCGGCGAGGGGAGUGAAAAAGAACCUGAAACCGUGUACGUACAAGCAGUAGGAGCCCCAUCACUCAAGUGCCUCGCACUGAGUGAUUGGACAAACCACUCGAAAACAGCGCAGCGUUUACCUACAAAGUGGAUUGAUUUUUUCAAGCCGUCGCGCAGUGUACAUAGAAGUACACGAGCAACGGAAGUUAAAAAAUCGAGCCAGUUUGACAGUAAAAGCAAGCGGGACAUUUGAGGAUGGGGUGACUGCGUACCUUUUGUAUAAUGGGUCAGCGACUUAUAUUCUGUAGCGAGGUUAACCGUAUAGGGGAGCCGUAGGGAAACCGAGUCUUAACUGGGCGAAUGAGUUGCAGGGUAUAGACCCGAAACCCGGUGAUCUAUCCAUGGGCAGGUUGAAGGUUGGGUAACACUAACUGGAGGACCGAACCGACUAAUGUUGAAAAAUUAGCGGAUGACUUGUGGAUGGGGGUGAAAGGCCAAUCAAACCGGGAGAUAGCUGGUUCUCCCCGAAAGCUAUUUAGGUAGCGCCUCGUGAACUCAUCUUCGGGGGUAGAGCACUGUUUCGACUAGGGGGUCAUCCCGACUUACCAACUCGAUGCAAACUGCGAAUACCGAAGAAUGUUAUCACGGGAGACACACGGCGGGUGCUAACGUCCGUCGUGAAGAGGGAAACAACCCAGACCGCCAGCUAAGGUCCCAAAGUCAUGGUUAAGUGGGAAACGAAGUGGGAAGGCUCAGACAGCCAGGAUGUUGGCUUAGAAGCAGCCAUCAUUUAAAGAAAGCGUAAUAGCUCACUGGUCGAGUCGGCCCGCGCGGAAGAUGUAACGGGGCUAAACCAUGCACCGAAGCUGCGGCAGCGACACUAAGUGUUGUUGGGUAGGGGAGCGUUCUGUAAGCCUGCGAAGGUGUACUGUGAGGUAUGCUGGAGGUAUCAGAAGUGCGAAUGCUGACAUAAGUAACGAUAAUGCGGGUGAAAAACCCGCACGCCGGAAGACCAAGGGUUCCUGUCCAACGUUAAUCGGGGCAGGGUGAGUCGACCCCUAAGGCGAGGCUGAAAAGCGUAGUCGAUGGGAAACGGGUUAAUAUUCCCGUACUGGUGGUAACUGCGAUGGGGGAACGGAGAAGGCUAGGUUGUCCGGGCGACGGUCGUCCCGGUUCAAGCAUGUAGGCAGAGUGAUUAGGCAAAUCCGGUCACUUAAUGCUGAGGUGUGAUGACGAGCCACUAAGGUGGUGAAGCAAUUGAUGCCCUGCUUCCAGGAAAAGCCUCUAAGCUUCAGGUUACCAACAAUCGUACCCCAAACCGACACAGGUGGUCAGGUAGAGAAUACUCAGGCGCUUGAGAGAACUCGGGUGAAGGAACUAGGCAAAAUGGUGCCGUAACUUCGGGAGAAGGCACGCUGGCGGUAAGUGAAGUCCCUUGCGGACGGAGCCGAAGCCAGUCGAAGAUACCAGCUGGCUGCAACUGUUUAUUAAAAACACAGCACUGUGCAAACACGAAAGUGGACGUAUACGGUGUGACGCCUGCCCGGUGCUGGAAGGUUAAUUGAUGGGGUUAUCCUUAGGGAGAAGCUCUUGAUCGAAGCCCCAGUAAACGGCGGCCGUAACUAUAACGGUCCUAAGGUAGCGAAAUUCCUUGUCGGGUAAGUUCCGACCUGCACGAAUGGCGUAAUGAUGGCCAGGCUGUCUCCACCCGAGACUCAGUGAAAUUGAACUCGCUGUGAAGAUGCAGUGUACCCGCGGCAAGACGGAAAGACCCCGUGAACCUUUACUAUAGCUUGACACUGAACAUUGAGCCUUGAUGUGUAGGAUAGGUGGGAGACUAUGAAGUGUGGACGCCAGUCUGCAUGGAGUCAACCUUGAAAUACCACCCUUUAACGUUUGAUGUUCUAACCUAGGCCCAUAAUCUGGGUCGGGGACCGUGUCUGGUGGGUAGUUUGACUGGGGCGGUCUCCUCCUAAAGAGUAACGGAGGAGCACGAAGGUUGGCUAAGCAUGGUCGGACAUCAUGCGGUUAGUGCAAAGGCAUAAGCCAGCUUGACUGUGAGAGUGACGGCUCGAGCAGGUACGAAAGUAGGUCUUAGUGAUCCGGUGGUUCUGAAUGGAAGGGCCAUCGCUCAACGGAUAAAAGGUACUCCGGGGAUAACAGGCUGAUACCGCCCAAGAGUUCAUAUCGACGGCGGUGUUUGGCACCUCGAUGUCGGCUCAUCACAUCCUGGGGCUGAAGUAGGUCCCAAGGGUAUGGCUGUUCGCCAUUUAAAGUGGUACGCGAGCUGGGUUUAGAACGUCGUGAGACAGUUCGGUCCCUAUCUGCCGUGGGCGUUGGAAGAUUGAGAGGGGUUGCUCCUAGUACGAGAGGACCGGAGUGAACGCACCACUGGUGUUCGGGUUGUCAUGCCAAUGGCAUUGCCCGGUAGCUAAGUGCGGAAGAGAUAACCGCUGAAAGCAUCUAAGCGGGAAACUUGCCUCGAGAUGAGUCUUCCCUGUCACCUAGAGUGACCUAAAGGAACGUUUAAGACUAAGACGUUGAUAGGCUGGGUGUGUAAGCGUAGCGAUACGUUGAGCUAACCAGUACUAAUGAACCGUGAGGCUUAACCUGACAACACCGAAGGUGUUU
rnacentral:rRNA from 1 species